GGCUUAGAAGCAGCCAUGCAUUCAAAGAGUGCGUAACAGCUCACUGGUCGAGUGGACAUGCGCCGACAAUACACGGGGCUAAGCUGGACACCGAAGCGGCGGGAUUCUAUCUAUAGAAUCGGUAGGGGAGCUUCCCAUGGGCGGAGAAGCCGGAGGGCGACCGACGGUGGAGCGCAUGGGAGUGAGAAUGCUGGCAUGAGUAGCGAGAGACGAGAGAGUAACUCGUCCGCCGUGAACCCGAGGUUUCCUGGGCAAGGCUAAUCCUCCCAGGGUCAGUCGGGGGCUAAGGCGAGGCCGGGAGGCGUAGCCGACGCGCAGCAGGCAGACAUUCCUGCACCGCGCACGCGGCGCUACGACCGACGGGGCGACGGAUGGGGGUGGCUCGGCGGGGUUCUGGACGUCCCCGUGAUGGAGCGCGGCCCGCGGACCAGGGAAAUCCGGUCCGCAUCGAGGGCGAGGCUCCGGACGAAGCACUUAAGCGAAGCGAGUGAGCCCGAGGUCCCUAGAAAAACCCCUAGGCAGGCGCGUGCGCGCCCGUACCGCAAACCGACACAGGUGGGUGGGUAGAACAUACCGAGGCGAUCGGGUCAACCAUGGUCAAGGAACUCGGCACAAUGGCCCCGUAACUUCGGGAGAAGGGGUGCCCGCGCGUACGUGAACGGACUUGCUCCGGGAGCGGAGGCGGGCCGCAGUGGAGAGGCCCAAGCGACUGUUUACCAAAAACACAGGACUCUGCAGAAGCCGCAAGGCGACGUAUAGGGUCUGACGCCUGCCCGGUGCCGGAAGGUCACGCGGAGGAGUUAGCGCACCGCGCGAAGCCCCGAAGCCAAGCCCCGGUAAACGGCGGCCGUAACUAUAACGGUCCUAAGGUAGCGAAAUUCCUUGUCGGGUAAGUUCCGACCUGCACGAAAGGCGCAACGACUUGGGCGCUGUCUCGACCAUGGACCCGGUGAAAUUGCACUGGUCGUGAAGAUGCGACUUACCCGCGGAAGGACGGAAAGACCCCGUGAACCUUCACUGCAGCUUGGCAUUGGCCGCUGGUCCCGCGUGUAGAGGAUAGGCAGGAGGCGAAGAUCCGGAGGCGCCAGCCCCCGGGGAGCCGCCCUUGGAAUACUGCCCUCGCGCGACCGGCGUCCUAACCCGAGGCCGUCAACCGGCUCGGGGACCGUGCCAGGCGGGCAGUUUGACUGGGGCGGUCGCCUCCUAAAGGGUAACGGAGGCGCGCGAAGGUCCGCUCGGGACGGUCGGCAACCGUCCUUUUGAAUGCAAGAGUACAAGCGGGCUUGACUGCGAGGCCCACAAGCCGAGCAGGUGCGAAAGCAGGCUCUAGUGAUCCGGCGGCCCCGAGUGGGUGGGCCGUCGCUCAACGGAUAAAAGGUACUCCGGGGAUAACAGGCUGAUCUUGCCCAAGAGUCCACAUCGACGGCAAGGUUUGGCACCUCGAUGUCGGCUCAUCGCAUCCUGGGGCUGGAGCAGGUCCCAAGGGUACGGCUGUUCGCCGUUUAAAGCGGUACGCGAGCUGGGUUCAGAACGUCGUGAGACAGUUCGGUCCCUAUCCUCCGUGGGCGCAGGAGAAUCGAUGGAGGCUGCCCCCAGUACGAGAGGACCGGGGUGGACGCACCUCCGGUGAACCGGUUGUCGACCAACGGCACGGCCGGGUAGCCGCGUGCGGCGCGGAUAACCGCUGAAGGCAUCUAAGCGGGAAGCCGUUCCAGGGAUUAGUUCUCCUUCCGGUAAGGGCCCAGGUAGACUACCUGGUCGAUAGACGGCAGGUGCAAGGGCGGCGACGCCCUCAGCCGAGCCGCACUAAUCGCCCGAGCUCUUCCGGAA
rnacentral:rRNA from 1 species